AUCUACAAUCUCCCUCCCCUGUCCCAUAUCACCACUCCUUCCCCAAUCCCUCCACCUCCCCCAUCAGCUGAUCAGGAGACUGGAAACAGACCAAAAGGGGGUUUGGCUGGAGGGAAUAAUUGUAGAAUUGAAAAAGAAAACUCUCCCCAUCUCCUCCCUGCAAUCACACUUAACAUUCAUUAUGUCAAUUUUCAAUAAUGCAAAAUGUCUUGCCCAAGAGGCAUCCUGAUUUCAAGAAGUCAAAAGGGUACCUGGCAUUAAACAACCUCGAGUCAAUCCUGGUGGGAUUAACUGGGCUGAGUUUCUAUAAACUGCACAUGCUAUGGAUCUACUUUGAUCACAGUAAGGAAAAAAAUGAUAAUAGAUUUUUUUUUAAGAAUUGCUGCACAGGAAUGUUCCGUUUCUUUUAUAUAGCAGAGUUUAAUCUUGAUAAAAACCUUUUAAACCAUCCUUUUCCCUCCACUAUGGUAAAGAUAUGGUAUCUAUUCUUUGCUUUUCUUUAAGGAAGGAAAAUAGGAGUUGCUUAUACCGAGAAAGAAAAUUUUAUUCUCCAACCCCCCCCCCCCAUUCUACUAAACCGUUUUAGUCGACAUAUGUUUGUUAUCAGAGAGAGGUGCUGUGAACACACAGCCAUUUUCUUAGCAGCUUUUUGACUGUAUGUUACCAUAGUCCCACAAGGCAUUGGUCCUUUCCCAUUGGGAAGUCAUGAAUAAGAGACUAUGAAGCUUGCACGUCAGAUCUUCCUCAAUUAAUCCACCAUUAGCAUGUUUGGGAUCCACUACUGGAUGGUUAACAGCAGCUUUUGUAACUGUAUGCCGACCAUACCCAAUUAUGCUCUGCUAAAAAUGAACUCUUUGCAGACCAACCCUCUCGGGCUGUCAGUGUUUUCCGUUUUCCUAUUUUAACGUUUGUGUAUAGUGGCAGGCGACAGAUGGUGUAGAUCAGAUCGAUUUGAUUGCAUUAGAUGAUUUUUUUUUUUCCUUUCCCCACUCCUUUCUGGAAGCUCGCAUCAGCUGAAGGCUAUCGCCUGGGACUCCUUGGAAGCGUGAGCAAGCCGCCACCACGCGAAGGCACUGGGGCACAGCCAGCGCGAGGCACCGAGGUCCCUUCCCAGGGCUUGUUAACACUGUAACCCGGCACUCCGAAGGAAGCAGCUCCCACUGCCCAGAGCCUACCUCACCGCUCAUCAGAUGACUCUGGUUUCCACACACGGUUGGAGUCCCGCUUGAAACCUGGAUUUAGAGGGUAAGCACUUCAAUCGAGAUGGAUUUGUGACAGUUACUUUGCUAUACCGCAAGACAAAUCUCAGCAAACGUACAGGAUGUAGGAUGUGUGGAAGAGGGAGACUAUGUUUACAUCGAUAAAUGUGUUUCUUUUUGUCUGAGGAGAGUAUUAUUCAGUAAAGAUGUGUAUAGUGUUUUUCCAUUGAUUGCAAGAGUCGACUACCAUCCUCCUCCCGAUUUUUUCCCUCUCCUUGGUGUUUCCCCCUUUCUACUUGAGAGGGAAGGAGAGAGGAAGAGGGAGGGAGUCAAGGGGGAGGGGGAGAGAGAGAGAAGCAUUUCUGCUUUAGCUUAAUUGGCUUAUUUCCUCAAACCGAUUGCUUUGUCGUGUUUCUUUAUGUAUAUUUGGUUGCAAAUUACCAAGCGUUUAACUGGGAUGGGUGUUGGAGUGUGGGGGACAGGGUGGGAAAGUAGUGGGGACUGGCAGUCAGUCGCGGUGGCCUUGGGAGAUCAAAAGGUGCUGAAAACCCCUGCCCGCAAAACACACCUCUAGUUAUUGGGGAGCUAGAGAAAUGUAGAUUCUAAUAAACAUGGCUUGCAGGAGUCCAUGAACAAAGGUACUUAAUGCGGACCUAAGCCUCCGUUGCUAUUGCUCCGCUAGCGGUAUCUAAAUAUUCAAAAGCAAAGUGUAAGUUGAUCAACAAACGCCCUGAUGGUAUUGGGCUUUUUUCCCUUUUCUGUUUUUGUGUGGAGGGUGGAGAAGGGAGGAGGGUGGAUGGGUGGGGGAAAUCCGACAGCUUAAGGAGGUUUGAAUUGAAUAUGCACCCAGCGGCAGUGGUCUCGUAGGAAAUGGUGUUCUCGUAAGUCAGGCUGCCCCGCUGAAGCACGAGAGAGCUUUGGUUAGAGCUCAGAGCGUCAGUUCUGCUGCGAGUGCUGCCGGCAGUCGGCCCGGGCUGAGCUGUCCACUCGUCCAGGUGCUGAAGCUGGUGGAACAUUUGGGGCUCUCUCGCUGCCAUGACACUCAAUCAAAGCACCUAGAGUGGGCUGGCCGAGACCAGAGCGGGUACCGAGCAGAACAAGUCCAGAGGAAGGCACUGGGAGAGCACCAGAAUUGGAAAUAGAGCAGCCAUUUGGAUUUGGGCAGGAAGCAGCAGAGCACAGCUUUGGAUCCUUCUUUAGGGAAAUCGAGUUAUGGAUUUAUGGUCCCGG